rnacentral:misc_RNA from 1 species
GAAAUGCGAUAAGUAAUGUGAAUUGCAGAAUUCAGUGAAUCAUCGAAUCUUUGAAUGCACCUUGCGCUCCUUGGUAUUCCUUGGAGCAUGCCUGUUUGAGUAUCAUGAAAUCUUCAAAGUAAAUCUUUUGUUAACUCAAUUGGUUUCUACUUUGGUAUUGGAGGUCUUUGCAGCUUCACACCUGCUCCUCUUUGUUCAUUAGCUGGAUCUCAGUGUUAUGCUUGGUUCCACUCGGCGUGAUAAGUUAUCUAUCGCUGAGGACACUGUAAAAGGUGGCCAAGGUAAAUGCAGAUGAACCGCUUCUAAUAGUCCAUUGACUUGGACAAUACUUUUAUGAUCUGAUCUCAAAUCAGGUAGGACUUCCCGCUGAACUUAAGC